rfam:Picea glauca, whole genome shotgun sequence.
UCUUGUGUGCAUUCCUACAGCAUAGCAUCAAUGCAUUGAAUCCCAUUAGAACUCUACAGUUAAGUGCACUCAGGCUAGAGUAGUACUGGGAUGGGUGACCACCCUGGAAGUCUUGGUGUUUUACAUGCC